UACGAAGGGGGCUAGCGUUGCUCGGAAUCACUGGGCGUAAAGGGUGCGUAGGCGGGUCUUUAAGUCAGGGGUGAAAUCCUGGAGCUCAACUCCAGAACUGCCUUUGAUACUGAAGAUCUUGAGUUCGGGAGAGGUGAGUGGAACUGCGAGUGUAGAGGUGAAAUUCGUAGAUAUUCGCAAGAACACCAGUGGCGAAGGCGCUCACUGGCCCGAUACUGACGCUGAGGCACGAAAGCGUGGGAGCAA
rnacentral:rRNA from 1 species